rnacentral:rRNA from 1 species
GACGAACGCUGGCGGCGUGCUUAACACAUGCAAGUCGAACGGAAAGGCCCUGCUUUUGUGGGGUGCUCGAGUGGCGAACGGGUGAGUAACACGUGAGUAACCUGCCCUUGACUUUGGGAUAACUUCAGGAAACUGGGGCUAAUACCGGAUAGGAGCUCCUGCUGCAUGGUGGGGGUUGGAAAGUUUCGGCGGUUGGGGAUGGACUCGCGGCUUAUCAGCUUGUUGGUGGGGUAGUGGCUUACCAAGGCUUUGACGGGUAGCCGGCCUGAGAGGGUGACCGGCCACAUUGGGACUGAGAUACGGCCCAGACUCCUACGGGAGGCAGCAGUGGGGAAGAUUGCACAAUGGGCGGAAGCCUGAUGCAGCAACGCCGCGUGCGGGAUGACGGCCUUCGGGUUGUAAACCGCUUUCGCCUGUGACGAAGAGUGAGUGACGGUAAUGGGUAAAGAAGCACCGGCUAACUACGUG